AAAAAGACAAACUCUGAGUUUUCGUGUCCAACUUUAACUGUUCGUUUUAUAUGAAAUUUUUUUAUAAUUCGUAUUUUCAUUGUUGUUAGAUGAUAAAACAUGAUUAAUAUUUUAUGCGUGACUUGUCUUUUUAAUUUUUUUCAUAAAUUUUUUAAAUAAGACGGACGGUCAAACGUUGGACACGGAAACCAGGGUUG
rnacentral:pre_miRNA from 1 species